rnacentral:rRNA from 1 species
CUACGGGGCGCUGCAGUGGGGAAUAUUGCACAAUGGACGAAAGUCUGAUGCAGCAACGCCGCGUGGAGGAUGACACAUUUCGGUGCGUAAACUCCUUUUAUAUAGGAAGAUAAUGACGGUACUAUAUGAAUAAGCGCCGGCUAACUCCGUGCCAGCAGCCGCGAUAAUACGGAGGGCGCAAGCGUUACUCGGAAUCACUGGGCGUAAAGAGCGUGUAGGCGGAUAGAUAAGUCAGGAGUGAAAUCCUAUGGCUCAACCAUAGAACUGCUCUUGAAACUGUCUAUCUAGAAUAUGGGAGAGGUAGAUGGAAUUUCUGGUGUAGGGGUAAAAUCCGUAGAGAUCAGAAGGAAUACCGAUUGCGAAGGCGAUCUACUGGAACAUUAUUGACGCUGAGACGCGAAAGCGUGGGGAGCAAACAGGAUUAGAUACCCCUGUAGUC